UGCAACUAAAGGAAUAAUAUCACAUAUCCUGUUGGUGUCUGAGAUGGAAGCACAAGCUCUCAGUAUGCCUAAAUUAUUGAAAUCAGCCGUGAUUUCAUGGAGGAAGAAGAAAUCCUGGAGGAACCAAGAUUUGUGGGGAAGCACCAUGUGGAUUUGCAGAUGGUGGGUGCUUCUCAAAAGACUCAAAAGAACCAUUAAUAUCUGUGCGAAAGAUGUCCCAGAGAGAGGCCAUUAGCAACUGACCCGAUGUAUUUAGAAACAGGGGAGAGACUGUACAUCCUCUGUUUCAUUCCUUGUUGAUCGUCGGUGACGGAGCGGCUGGCGAGGAGACUGGGGAGACGAUCAAGCAUCACUGGGGCUUACGGGUUCGUGCAAGAUACCAUGGCGAUGAUUUCCUUUGCGGAUAGCUUUGCAAGAAGCCAUGUUAGUUUAAUAGAAACCAAGGCACCAAGAAUUUCUAUUCUGAAAAAUCCGUUGGACUAACUGGGCGUGGCUUUCCAUCCAGCAGCCCAUAAAGAGAACAAGGAGAUGCCAAAGGCUGCGACAAUGGGCUGCCUCAGUCAAAAUGGCUAGACUGUUGGCUUUAAUGCCACCAAAAAUUUCAACAGUCAUGAAAACUACGCAAAGGAUCACUGCAGUCCAAAGCUUUCGCUUUGCCAAUUUCUUUAGAGUCCUUAGAGAUGGACCCAGUAUCUACAAAUCCACACGAUGUGUCCCCACAUACCCUGGUUCCUCUAGUAUUUCUUCUCCCUUCAGGAAAAUCACCACUGAUUUCAAUAAUUUGGGUACCAUGUUGAGAUCUUUGUGCUUCCAUCUCAGACAUCAACAGGAGUUUUCGCCCCUGCGUAUUUCAAGAGACUUUAUAUGAAGAAUGGGCAGAUUAAAGCCAGCGUAGAGGAAGAGAAAAGCGCGGGAUCACAAAAGGUAUUGGAGAUGGGGAUCAUAGUGCAUUCAGUGAUAAUAUGAGUUUCUUUGGAAGCUCUCGGACUCAAGUCAUAAAGCCACAUGUUUCUGCUUUGACCUUUCAUCAAUUCUUUGAGGCCAUGGGCCUUGGAAGGUGUAUCACGCGGGCGAAAUUCAAGUACAAAACCAUAGCUAUGAUAUUGGUAAUGUUCUUUGCUCUGACAAUUCCGAUGGGAAUAGCCAUUGGAAUAGGAAUUCCGAAUAAGCAUGAUAAGAACAGUCCGAAUGCUUUGAUUGUGGAAAGGAUUGUCAAUGCAACAUAGCAGGAAACUUAAUCUUUAUGUUGAUUUGUUAGCAUCUGAUUUUUUGAUAAACAGUACUCGUCUUCAAUGUGCAGCAAAUAUUUUUGUUCUUCUAUAGGUGCUAGUUCAUAUCCCUUCAAGCCAAAUGGGCUUGAAGCUUGGUUCUUCUAAGUGAAGUACUAAGAAUUCUUGUUAGGCUGAGAAAAAAUUAAUGAGCCCUCAGCCUAACAAGAAUUCCUAAUACUUAACUUUGAACAACCAAGUAAAGAGACAUCAAGCAGGUACCUAGAAAUACAAAAAUAUUUGCUGCACAUUGAAGAUGACUACUGUUUUGCAUUUUAUCGGUCAUAAAACAGUUGUAAAUUAAGAUUAAGAUUAAGAUUCCAGCUGAUGCUGCGUUGACUUCAAUGAUCAAAGCAUUCUAAAUAUUCUCGUCUUAAUCUAUCUGACAUGCAAGAAAAAUUAAUGAGCCCUCACCAAUUGCCAUUUUCUUGCAUGCCAGAUAGACCAUGUGAUGAGUUGCUAAAGCAACAGAGCGAAGUUGCAACAGAUUAAAGUGCUCAAUGAGUUUUACAGACAUCGCCAAUGAAAGUGACUGGUAACAAGAAACUCCGUUUGUCUGUGACAUGACCAAUGAAAGCAACCCAUCACAUGGUCUAUCUGGCAUGGAAAAACUUUGCUUUUAGGAGUUGGUUUAAUAAUGUUUCUUUUAAUUAAAUGGUUUUGACAUUUUACUAUUUAUAAUUAUAAUAUAUUUAGUGUGUGUAAGCCAUAAGGCUAUUGAAACAACUGCCUCAGGCCUCCAAAAUAAUUUCAUAAUGCCCCUAUUAUGUGUGCA